rnacentral:rRNA from 1 species
AUUGCACGCUGGCGGCAGGCCUAACACAUGCAAGUCGAGCGGCGCGGCGGUCGGGUGCGUAAUGCCUAUGAAUCUGCCUGUUCGUGGUGGAUAACGACCGCAAAUGGGCGCUAUUACUACUUCCUCUUAGAUUAGCCUAGGUCGGAUUAGCUAGUUGGUGGGGUAAAGGCCUACCAAGGCGACGAUCCGUAACUGGUCUGAGAGGAUGAUCAGUCACACUGGAACUGAGACACGGUCCAGACUCCUACGGGAGGCAGCAGUGGGGAAUAUUGGACAAUGGGCGAAAGCCUGAUCCAGCCAUGCCGCGUGUGUGAAGAAGGCCUUCGGAUUGUAAAGCACUUUAAGUUGGGAGGCGUUACCAACAGAAUAAGCACCGGCUAACUUCGUGCCAGCAGCCGCGGUAAUAC